rnacentral:tRNA from 1 species
GCCUUUAUAGCUCAGUUGGUAGAGCGCGACACUAGUAUUCAAUCAAAUACAUCGCAAUGUCGAGGUCUACGGUUCGACUCCGUAUGAAGGCA